rnacentral:rRNA from 1 species
AACACAUGCAAGUCGAACGAGAUUAUCCAGCUUGCUGGAUAUGAAAGUGGCGCACGGGUGCGUAACGCGUGAGCAACCUACCUCUGUCAGGGGGAUAGCCCGGCGAAAGUCGGAUUAACACCGCAUGACAUUAUUGAUGUGGCAUCACAUUAUAAUCAAAUAUUUAUAGGACAGAGAUGGGCUCGCGUGACAUUAGCUAGUUGGAGAGGUAACGGCUCACCAAGGCAACGAUGUCUAGGGGCUCUGAGAGGAGAAUCCCCCACACUGGUACUGAGACACGGACCAGACUCCUACGGGAGGCAGCAGUAAGGAAUAUUGGUCAAUGGAGGGAACUCUGAACCAGCCAUGCCGCGUGCAGGAUGACUGCCCUAUGGGUUGUAAACUGCUUUUGUCGGGGAAUAAACCUACGUUUGCGAACGUAGCUGAAUGUACCCGAAGAAUAAGGAUCGGCUAACUCCGUGCCAGCCGCCGCGGUAAUAC